rnacentral:rRNA from 1 species
UACGGAGGGGGCUAGCGUUGUUCGGAAUUACUGGGCGUAAAGCGCGCGUAGGCGGACCUGCAAGUCGGGGGUGAAAGCCCGAGGCUCAACCUCGGAACUGCCUUCAAUACUGCGGGUCUCGAGUCCGGGAGAGGUGAGUGGAAUUCCUAGUGUAGAGGUGAAAUUCGUAGAUAUUAGGAAGAACACCAGUGGCGAAGGCGGCUCACUGGCCCGGUACUGACGCUGAGGCGCGAAAGCGCGGGGAGCAAACAGG